rnacentral:lncRNA from 1 species
ACUAGGAGUAGAGCAAUGGUUUUCGUUGGAAAGGUUAUGCAAAAGAAGACGAUUUUCUGUUUCAUAUUCCCUAGCACACCUGCCCGACAGAAGUGUCCUGUUGCUGUCAGGAGUGAUUCUGAGCCAAACCAAAGGCUGUCCACACAGAAAAAGUGCCAAGAUCAUGACAAAAAACUCCCACCACCGCUCCAUGGAGAAAGCCAUGAUGAGAGAGGAGCACACCCCAGUCUGAGGAGCAUCUCCCUGUAGAGAUCUGUGGCCAUACUGUGAGAGCUUCGUUCAGUACUGCUGUGCUGCUUUUCAAGUAGUCAUAGCAAAGCUCAGAAGAGUCAUGACACCUCAAGAAGAGCCUGGAGUCAGGGUGAUGAUGGAUUUACACCUUCCCUUUCCUCCUUGUGGCUUCAGUGGAGGAUUUGGCUAAAGCAAGGGAGUUAUGGCUGAGGUUACUUUGUCUAGUUUCUUUUGCUCUUCCUUCAUUAUGAGGGUCAACAUGUUGGACUCUGUAAUAAAACCCCCAUCUGCCUACCA